rnacentral:tRNA from 1 species
UGCUGUUUGGUGUAAUGGUAGCACAUAAGAUUUUGGCUCUUAUAGUAGAGGUUCGAGUCCCCUAACAGCAA